rnacentral:rRNA from 1 species
UACGUAGGGGGUAAGCGUUGUCCGGAUUUAUUGGGCGUAAAGAGCGUGUAGGCGGCCAGGUAGGUCAGCUGUGAAAACUCGAGGCUCAACCUCGAGACGUCGGUUGAAACCAUCUGGCUAGAGUCCGGAAGAGGAGAGUGGAAUUCCUGGUGUAGCGGUGAAAUGCGCAGAUAUCAGGAAGAACACCCGUGGCGAAGGCGGCUCUCUGGGACGGUACUGACGCUGAGACGCGAAAGCGUGGGGAGCGAACAGG